rnacentral:rRNA from 1 species
GCCUGAGUAGUAAUAGUUAUGUUCUCGAAACUUAAAAAAUUUGGCGGUAUUUUAGUCUAUUCAGAGGAACCUGUCCUAUAAUCGAUAAUCCACGGUGGACCUUACUUGCCCUUGCAUACAGUUUAUAUACCGUCGUUAGCAGAAUAUUUUUAGAGAAUAAUAAUUUUCAUUAAACUUUAUAAAGUUUUAUAUCAGAUCAAGGUGUAGCUAAUGGGUAAGGAGAGAUGGGUUACAAUAAGAUUACUUAUAUGGAAGAGAGUAUGCAAACCUCUCGGAAAGUGGAUUUGAAAGUAAAUUUGUAAAGACAAACAAGUUGACUUUAGCUCUAAAAUAUGCACACAUCGCCCGUCGCUCUUAUUACUAAGGUAAGAUAAGUCGUAACAUAGUAGACGUACCGGAAGGUGUGUCUAGAAUGUCAACUUGAAGCUUAAUUAGAAAAGUUUUUCAUUUACAUUGAAAGGAUUUAUGUGCAAAUCAUUGCAGGUUGAUUGAAAUUUCAUUAUUGAUUUUGUUAUUUAUUAGGAAGGUAUUAAAAAUAAUUAUAAUAACUUAGGUUUUAGUACCGUCUAGGGAAAAAAUAAUUUAAAUUAUAGUGAAUUAGUAUUGUAAAAGACUUGUGAAAUACGUGAAAAA